AAAAAAAACUAAAUAAAACUCGGGAAAAAGACACGAAUUCUUGUGAAAUUGGGAACAUAAAAUGUGAUUUCUGAAAAACGGCAUAAUGCACGAAUGCAGAAUACGAUGGUAUCACGGUGACAAAUAUACGAUAACUGUGCGACGGGUCUUCUGGCGCGCGCGGAAUAGAAGUCAGUUCGCUAAAGACUCAUCGCUAAUGUUGUCUUUAAACGCUUCUAUGUCAUUGCUCUAUCCGUAAUAUAUGAUAUAAUGCUAUAAUAUUAUGUUUCAAGUAAGCCGAAA